GCGCCGGUGGUGUGUGGUACACACGUGCACGCCCACACGAUUGUUUGGCGCAAGAGUUGAACAGCGAGAUGGGGUUCGAUUCCCCGCCGGUGCA